rnacentral:rRNA from 1 species
AGCGAACGCUGGCGGCAGGCCUAACACAUGCAAGUCGAGCGCCCGUAGCAAUACGGGAGCGGCAGACGGGAUAGUAACACGUGGGAACGUACCCUUCAGUUCGGAACAACCCAGGGAAACUUGGGCUAAUACCGAAUACGUCCGUAAGGAGAAAGAUUUAUCGCUGAAGGAUCGGCCCGCGUCUGAUUAGCUAGUUGGUGGGGUAAUGGCCCACCAAGGCGACGAUCAGUAGCUGGUCUGAGAGGAUGAUCAGCAUCACUGGGACUGAGACACGGCCCAGACUCCUACGGGAGGCAGCAGUGGGGAAUAUUGGACAAUGGGCGCAAGCCUGAUCCAGCCAUGCCGCGUGGAUGAUGAAGGCCCUAGGGUUGUAAAGUCCUUUCGGCGGGGAAGAUAAUGACGGUACCCGCAGAAGAAGCCCCGGCUAACUUCGUGCCAGCAGCCGCAGUAAU